AGGUUUCCCAAGUUUCUCUCUGGAGGGACUUCAAGUAAAGGUGGAAUGCCCCUUCAAUCUUCUGCAAAGACUACAGAAGAACAGGCAACGGGCCAUACUUAUGAAAACAGAAGACCAGCAUCAGGCUACUCGGGC